ensembl:lncRNA
AUGAGAUUCAGAAGAGAACGCACACUUCCACGAACGAUAUAUCAUCAAAGAGAUAUGUGAAAAACACCUUGAGGAUUGAUUCUAAACAACGUUUACCAUGUUUCAGUCGAUAUUAUGGAGUCAAUUUGGAAAAAGUUUGGCGUUUUGAUGACUGAAUUUUUGUUUUUUUUGGUAGCCAAACGUGACGCACCAAACGAAGCGAUUUCUCCUAAACAAAUAAUCUUUCAGGAAAAACUGAACAUUUGCUAUCUAACUGAGUCUCCUCAUUGAAAACAUCCGAAGUUCUUCAAAGAGUUACGUGUAGUCUGGCUGUGUGUUAUCAUUUUAACUUCCAGUUUCCAAGAUUAUGUUUCUGUAUGCAGUGCUGCUGCUCUGCACAUUUGUAGCCAGGUCCCAUCUACUUUUUAACUCCUCACAACUAAAGUGGCCAAAACAAGAACAAGUCUGUGCUCUGGUAUUGUGCCUGGUGGACCAUGCAAAAGCUACAUCACAGUCCACACCAAGUUGCCCCCCCGACUAGUGCUUCAGCCUCAUCAAGCAGCGCUUCAGAAAGACCAGAGUGAACACUUUGUCUGAGAUUGCUGGUGUUGUGAAGGACAGCACUGACAGGGGUCAACAUCCCACAGCUGGUUGGACUGGAGGAUGGUACGGUGUUGGUGGAAAGCUAUCUGCUGGCAACAACACCUGACUCCAUACUUCAGGCCGCGGCCACAGAUCAAGCAAUACCAGCACUUCAGCUCUGAUGCUCUGGAGCCUGGUGUUGUUGUCACCAAGGAGUGUUCGGACUCAUUCGGGACCAGGUUUCAGUUGCUGUGCAGCGCUGACAUCCUUCCUCCCAUAGAUGGUCUGCUUGUACAAGCACCACCCGGACUGGACACAGCUAGACAAACUUAUCUUUUUGAGAUCAGAGAGUUUUGCUGACGAAGAGGCUAUGGACAACACAUGCCCUGUGCCUAACUCAAGGGCAGGACAGAAAGAGGCUCUCCAAAUAAAGAUUUCCUGCGUGGUUCGGACAGACCAGUCAUCAGCACUAUCUGCAGUGCCUCUAUUCAAAUUACUCUCUCCUAACACACACGCUAUAUGUUUCUGCAUUCAUUUUUUUUAUCCUGCUGCUCAGCCACUUUACCCCUGAUUGUAUGCAUAUCCUAAUCUAUCACUG